rnacentral:lncRNA from 1 species
AAAUCAAACCCAUACGCGGAAAAUUCAAGCCGACCCAAAUCAUCAGUCUUCUUCCUUGCACCAUCUCGAGCAACGCUAGUCACACCCAAAAUCAACAGUCGUUCUUGAACCUCUCCGACCAUCAACAAAUCCAACAUAUACAGUAACCCAACACUACUGGCCGAGAGCCACCGGGCACUCUAAUAAUCCAACAGCUACCCACAAUCAACGGACCAUAAACUACAAAACCAGGCACCAUUUCCAUACAAUCUUACCACUAACCAGCAAACCAAUCACGUCAGAACACAGGUGAACCGAACUUCUCCUUGCCGACCACUUCCACAAUAGUGAGGCCACCACAAUUUCUCCUCCAGUACUCAAAGGCACAGGCGCUUCGACCUUCGAACUCGCCUCCACAGAAGCGACUAGAUUGUUGUUUGAGUCCUUCUCUGGACCGAAAUCCCCUUUGGUCUUUGC